GACGAACGUUGGCGGCGUGCUUAACACAUGCAAGUCGAACGGUAAGGCCCUUCGGGGUACACGAGUGGCGAACGGGUGAGCAACACGUGGGUGAUCUGCCCUGCACUUCGGGAUAAGCCUGGGAAACUGGGUCUAAUACCGGAUAGGACCACUGCCUGCAUGGGUGGUGGUGGAAAGCUUUUGCGGUGUGGGAUGGGCCCGCGGCCUAUCAGCUUGUUGGUGGGGUGAUGGCCUACCAAGGCGACGACGGGUAGCCGGCCUGGGAGGGUGACCGGCCACACUGGGACUGAGAUACGGCCCAGACUCCUACGGGAGGCAGCAGUGGGGAAUAUUGCACAAUGGGCGCAAGCCUGAUGCAGCGACGCCGCGUGAGGGAUGACGGCCUUCGGGUUGUAAACCUCUUUCAGCACCGACGAAGCGCAAGUGACGGUAGGUGCAGAAGAAGGACCGGCUAACUACGUGCCAGCCGCCGCAGUAA
rnacentral:rRNA from 1 species